CUUUCUCAUGCUGGUUCACAAUUGGUUUUAUUUCCUAGCCCCAAUUACAAAAAAUCUUAAAAUCAGUUGCAUUUUCCUAUACAAGUCAGCUGGGCCACAGACCAAGCAGGAAAGCAAGAACCAAGCUCUUACUUGCAGGGAAGAAUCUUCAUUUUAAAACAGAUCUACCCACAUUCAUUUGAGCAAACACAUAUAUAAUGGAGUUUCCACCACUUCCCUCCGUGCUGCAGCUCUCUGCAAAAUCCUGUAUUAGAACUAAACUAUAUCCUACUGCUUCCUUCACACAGAAAACAGCUCAAAUACUCCACUGCUGCUCUGCUCAAUUCUUGAGGUCAAACAUCUGCUGUUGCUCAGACAGCAAGAAGCAGAAGCACAAUGGCUGCUUGCUGUUGUUUCAAUCCAGGAAAGUCCAUUCAAAAUCCACAGAGAAGUGUGUAAGGUACCAACUUGAGUACUCAAAACUUCUGCAGCCUCAGUGCUCAGAUGUUCUGUGCUCUGGAGCAGCAACAACUUGCAGCAAAAUCUUCACACGUGAAACAACCCAGGAGGUUUCUCGUUGCUUAUGUAAGAAUCCAGGUGUGGUUUCUUAAGAUUAUCAAAUUCAGUUCCCUGCUAGCACCAGAAACAAUUCACAUCCCUUUAUUAACAAAUCUGUCACCACUUUUUCACCCUGGCUUUCUCUAAUGCUCAGAAAACAUCCUUCCAUUAUUAUUUCUUUUUUGGCAGGUUACAGUCAGUGGCCUUCAUAUUGACUGUACUUCUAGACUUAAACCAAAUACCCAUUUAAUACUAAAUCCUAGGCUGUACUCCUUCUGUUACUCCCUGCUCAUAAAUCAGGCUUCAUCAUUCUCAUCCUUCCAGUCAUUUUUCCUGGGGAAGACUAAGUGAUAACCACACUGGUACUUCCACCUCUCAGCUGGAAAAGGCAGAUUAGUGAGCCCUAAACUGCUUUUGCCUGCUGUACCACUGCCUUGCAAAGGCCAUCCAGUGACCACUCAGGGCACGUGCACCCAUUUCAGUUGCUUAUGAUCAUCUCCCAAUUCCCUAUGAACUCCCAGCUAUAUUGUCUUGAAUAAAUCUACUUUUCUAAUCCAUAUCUAUUAACCUGCUGCUUUCUGAUCGAUGCUCAGAUUCUCCUUUUCCUGACAAUGCCUCCUAUACCUCUUGAAUAAAUUGCACUUACGUAUCCCUAACAUUUAUGCAAUGUGUGCUAAUGAACAUUUCAUAAUAAACAUUUCAUUUCAAUGCUAAUGAAAUAAUAAGACCAUUCCCAACAUUAGUAGCAUCAAUUCCUCACUUUACCCCUCAACACUUCCCAUGGCCAGUUUCCCACUCAUGAGUAUCUCCCUAUUUUUACCACCCUCCUAACAGUCAGCACCAAUUUCCCCAUGCACCACAUACUUAAUCAGAUUUGACACUGGGAAAAUGAUAGAGGGGUUUGUUAUUAUUUUUUGAAAAUUUUGUUUCUGAUCUUGUCUCCUAAACAUAUUCUAUGGCAUCCACCCUUUUAAUUCAGCCUACUGAAACCCAAUUUCCUUAUUUUCGCUCCCUUUUAUAAACAUUGCCUUCAAAGACUGUGGUUCUCCUACACUAACACAAUCAACACAUUAAAGUCACUUCUUAAUGAAGAUCUGCAUUUCCAUAACCUAAAACUUCAUGUUUCAGUAGUUCUGUUUUGCCUCCAAUGGCAAUACAGCAAAUUUUAUUGAGUAUUAUUCAUCCACAUUGCUCUUGCAGUGUCCACAGCUGCCCUGAGAAAUGGAGCAAAUAUCACCUUAGCUCUUAUCUGUAAGCCAGCCUUGCCAGGAGCAGCCCAUCUGCCUCUGCAUCUGACCUUACCCACCUCCAUUCCUCAAGGCAGGACAAAACACAGCUCACUGAUUCUGCUCAACCUUUGGCUUUUUAUUUUUUCUCAUUUCCCACACAUCCUGACUUCUAAGACAUCAAUUUUAAUCUUUUCCCAACACUUCCAGGCCCUCUGGUGACAUCACGUUUUUCUGAUGGUGAUUAACUCGCCCAGGUGGCCCUGCAGUCACCAUAUCCCCUGUUUGGUGUGACAAAUUCCCACUGGCUGUGUCAUUCAGGGGAAGGAAUCUUCUGCUGUGGACAGGACACCUAACAGAGUUAUUGAUAGCAUUGCCACUACAGCUGGGAAGGAGCAGAAAAAAUACUCCCACAAGUAUUUGUACUUGCAAUACACCAAAGGUUUCUGUGAUCCACCUCCAAAUCUGAUCAAGAGGAUGUGCACAAAGCAGCCACCUCUACUCCUCCAGAAUCCUGUUUGCCAUCACUUCCACCCCCUUCCCCCAAAUUUUAAAAUGAUCUGUCUCCCACAUGCGUUUUCAGUCACUCUGCUGCUGAAUCCUUUAGAGAUCACCACUGCACACGUUUUUAUUUUCAUCUUUCUGUAACAGAACAUUCCCAUUUGAAAAUUAUGUCCUAGUCAUCAACUUUAUUCUGUGAUUUUUGUGUAUUUCCGUGAUUCCCAUAAUACCACCCAUUAUAAAAUAUUUUUAAUUUUUGUCCAGGCUCUUGUAUGCUAACAUUUCCGUUUCUUGUUAUCCACACUCAGCAUUCCACAUUGCCUUACCACUAUUACCUGGCCAACUGUUAUCAGUAUACUGAUUUCCCUCCUCUUUCACAAUGAUUUUUAUACCUUCUAACUACUUCUGUAUCUACUGCCACAUCCUAACUCCACUGCCCUUCCUUUUCUGGGCCAUAUUUCACACAUCAUGACUAAUUUUCAAAAUGAGAAAAAAAUAUUCAACUUAAAAAUUGGAAGUACAAAGAGAAGGAUGAUGGAAGGGGACACACAUCCCCACAAGCUAUUUAUGUUGCCAAAUGAAGAAAUUCUGUAAUUAAGGAAUACAUCCUCCCUCUGUUUUAAAAUGGGAUUGUUUAAUGCUUCACAGGGGCAUAACAAAGCCAGAUCUGUAAGUGUGCAGGGAUCAACAUGGACACACGUUGCCCAACAACCCCACUGCAUUCCUCCACUGGAGCUUUAGUGACAAACAGUGAAUAAAAGUGAGGGUUCAGCCCCAUUUUUGAGACUAGGAUGAAAUGCUGGGAGAAGCACAGAUUCCCGGGGAAAGAUGUAAAGGCAGUUUUAUAACCUGCAUGACUCACAGAGAUAAAAAAGCACCAAGCUGCCCAGAAAGCAGGACCCACUGCCACCCUCUAUUUUCAUCCUAAACAGUUUUUUCAAUUAUUUGGGUUUUACAAUCCAAUUAAAGGGAAAGAAAAAAAAAUAAAGGGGGGGAAGCUAUUUCUGGCUCAACUCCCAAGGCAAAACUUAUUUAGGGCAGGGUGUUGCUUCAAGGAGAUAAGUACUGUUUAUUAAACAGCAGCAGUGACCCGAUAAGCGCUCAACCUACAUUUCUGCUGCCUGAAACAGACAAGUAUGUGUCAACUACAGUACCAGGGAUGGGAACUGAGCUCCAGGGGACAAACACUAAAUAUUGCAAGCACCGAGCUGCAUUCACUUUUUGGACUACUGCCUCAAAUUAAGAAAGCAAAAAUCAAACUAUCUGGUGGGGAACUUAUUGCAGCAGGUAGCUAUGAAGGGUAGAAUCACAAAAUACUGGAUUUGGUGUUGACAGAACAGAGAAAUAAGGCUUGAUCUUCUAUCAAAGCAUGAUAGAAGCCUUCAGCCUUGAUCAGGAGGCACAAUUGCUGCAUUCAAAGUGAUUCAGCUGCCCCAUCUCCCUGUUCAAACACUCCUGCAGAAUUCCCAUCCCUCACUCACUUUUAAAUGUGACAGAAGCUGUAACAAUACAGGAAUAUUCUCCUUAGUGCCAAGGCUCCUACUAGGAAGCUUUUGCAGCUGGAUGAGGUGUGCUACAGAGGACAGCAUUGGACAUCUGAGCUGGAAGUGAUGCCCUGCCCAGGGAAACCUGCCAAAAUUCAUGCAGAGACACUUUCAUGAACACAGAUGCUGCUUCUGGAGACAGUUUCCAAAGCACUGGAAAAUAAAUCUACAUGCACCCCUGGAUUUCAGUUUUAAAGUGCUGUCAAGGAAAGAAGGGACUAGAAAAAAGAUGAAAGACUAAUAAACUGGAGCAUCCAUGGGGUUAAAAAGAACCAAGACUGGCAAAGGAACACCCUCCAGCAGCUGCUGCAGGGGAGCAGAGGAUCCUGAACACAGAGCAACACAGGUGGGAAGAGACCAGGGUGACUUGUCAAGUUUUGAAUAUCUUAAAGAACAGAGUUUCCACAACACCUCUUACAAUCUGUUCCACCCCCACGGUAAAAUAAAUUCGCCUUCUACUCAACUGGUGCUUCCUGUGCUCCAGCUUCUGCCCUGUUCUGGUGCACCUGCCACCACACGGGCUCCAUCUGCUCCAAAGGUUCCCCUCAGCCCAUUGGAGAAGCUGAAGAUCACCAAGAUCACCCCUUCUCCUCCUCUUCCUAAGGCUGAACACACCUGAUUCCCUUCACCUCUCCUGGUGUGCCACAUGCUCCUUCCCCCAGUGCCCUGUCACAGGGCUCGCAAAAGGGUCAUGUCCCCUCCUGGAAGUGCUCUUUGAAGUGGCAGAAAGGGAGACUUGGAAAGGGGACACCUCACACCAGGGGAAACAGGAUUUCCACAAAUAGUUAUUCAAGUACCAGUAACAGAAGGAAUUCAGAAAGAAUGUGGAAAACACCCAGUACAGCUCCUUGACAGGAUCUGCACAGAGUUUUCUUCAUGUAUUCUAGUCACACAUAUAUAGUUAGAGGAAGUAAAAAAAAAUACAGGGAGUUCAGCCUUUUCUUUUUAGGACCCAACUAAAGAAAAACUUGGGGCUCUUCAAGUUUUCUGACUGUCUGGGUUUCAUAAAGAAGUUUAACUCCUGGCUUUCUGUUAAGAACCGUUAGGGAACGAUAGGAGAGAGGCUGGCAGUGUUUUCUGUGAGAUAAGGGAAACUCAAAGCUGCAGCUUAUAGUCCCUUGAUAUUUUGGGGGCAGAGGAAUCUACAUGGGACCCAUAAGUCUGUCUGCUGCUCAUUAAGGAUGUUUUAGAGCCUGGAAACCAGAAGCUCUUCAGUAAAGCUAUAACAGUCUUGAUUAGAUAAUGCACAACAAAAAAUGUUACAGAUGUAUCUAAUAAUCUCCAAGAACUCCACAAGCCUCAAGGAGAGCAGGGGAGAUGAUGUAAUCAGAUUUUCAGUUGUCAUUUUUGUCAAGACCCCACUCAAAAGGUUCUUCUGGUCUCUCAGUGAGCAGCUACCACACUUUCUAAGCACAGCACAUUGCAUGUGCCAAAGUGGGCUACAAGCAAAAGAGCUGGCUUAAUAUUGAUUAGCAAAAAUGAAGGAGCUAUCCUCACAUUUGGUCAUAUUUUAAGGCCCUUUCAUGACUACUGAGAUGUUGGAUGCUACUCUGACAGAUUGCUUCCAGUUUCUUAGAGCUGUGGUAUGAAACUAAAUACCUUAACAAAGAGUGAAAGUAUUGGACAAACAGCACUGUCUUCAUAACUGUAAUCUCAUUAUGUUCAGUAGAAUACUCCAGACAUCAUUUCAUUGAAGAAUGGGCACUUCCUGUGGAAGAAUUCACACAAGAUUAACUUUCAAGUCAACCCUUUUACCUACUGAAAAAUGUCCCUGCCCAUGGCAGGCAGGUUGGACAGGAUGAUCUUUAGAGGUCCAGCCCAACCCAUUCUAUGAUGAUUUUGUCUGGAAUAAAGCACCAGUUACAGAUCUGCAGCUCCCUUGGCUACCCUGAUGCCUUUUUGACCUCUGUAGGAUACAGACACGACCUUUUACAGUGCCAGAAGUGAUGUGAUCACUGAGAGCAGAAUCACUCCCAGACACCAAAGGUGUGAGCUGCAGUCACAGAUCAAAGGGAAAAGCGAGACAUCAAUCCAGCCUGCUUUUAAGUCAGGACCCCAUUUCAAAGAGGAAUAUGUAAGAACAAAAGAACUGAAGAGGAAGAGAUCAAGGCUCCAGCAGAAAGCAGAAUGGUUCUUUCCAGCCCACAAGCUGCUUCUGGACAAUGUCAACUAGCAAAAGGCAUCAAGCGUUAGUAUUCUGCUUUCCUCCCACAUUCUCCUUGCAGCCUUGACCUUCAAAGUCAGCCUCCAAAGUUUUGAAUACCAACAAGCUGCUUCUCACCACCUACAAGUGGGGUGAGCAGUGGCAGAGCACCAGAGCACCCAAAGUGCAGAACUUCCAUCCUCACUGCUCACAAACCAGGUGCCUUACCCGAUCCCUGCGCGUGGAAUUUGACCAAGUCCCACCACAACCCUUCUUAAGGGCCACAGAGAAAUGCUUUUAAUUACGUGCUGCAGCUUGAAUUAAGUCAUCCAAACACAGAGCCUCAGCCAAACAAUGGAGGGAUGCUUACAGCUUACCCACAAGUCAGCAGCCCAGUUUGAAGUUAAAUGUGAAUUCAAAGUACAAAACAACUCCAUCUUCAGACAAAUUUCUACUCAAUGAAGGGGGAAAUGGAGAACAUUCUUAGUGCUAUUUAUCACAUCUGACCAUCAUGAUUCAUUCCCUUUUCCAUGCCUUAGAAAAUGAUGCUGAACUAACUCCAGAUGUCUUUCCUAACAAUUUACAAUAAUACAGAAUGUAAUGGUAUUUUCUGCAUUCAUAAAAAGCAAUGCCUCCAUUCAAUACAAUCCUGUUCUUCUCCAUUUCAAAAGACCCAAAGGGAAUAGACACAUAUUUUAAGAGGGAACACAAAAACCCCAACCCACCUACUAGCACCUAUUGCUCCCUUCAGGCUGCUUCUCCUUCAAAGAAGGUAAGACCAGAAAUUCCAUAUUCAUCAUCCCACAUCAUGCUUCCCUUACCCCUUGUUUGCAUUUAGGUUAGGAAAGAAAUGUGGCUCCCCCUCCUUCUGUGCUACCUGACACUUGGAACUGCACGGGUGUGUAGGAAACAGCCUAACCCACCCUUCACUGGGUUUACUUGGUUUUGUUUUGAGUCACUACAAGGCUGGUAAAGCAUGACUUCAUAGAUCAGGAUUGACCCUUCCAAAAAAUUUAACACACAGACUGAGGCUUCCAUCACUGCUUGGUGUGAACAUGAGACAGACAAGCAAUUCCAUUCAGUCCCCAGGAGCCACAGUAAAUCCAGCUGCUGCCAGGUGCAGAGCUGAGCUCGGUGAGGGGUACACGGCCCCAGCCCCAUCAUUAGGAACUCCCACACCUGCACACCCCAGCUGCCAUCACACAGCACCACGAGAGCUGCACAGCUCACCCUGACACUCCAUCACCUCCACACCUCAGGCUUUCCAAGAUGAUUCUUCUCCUCCUCAGAAACAGUAAGAACCGGUCUCUGCACUACAGCCCACGAGAGGAUGCUGGAGAGAUCAAAUCCCCUGAAGCAGAGGCAGAGUUCUCAGCAGUGCUGCUCCCCCAAUACUUUUCCUUCCCCUACCAUCACACCCCAUCCUCUCCCCCUGCAUUUCUAGAGCCAUCAGUGCCCACAGGCACACCAGCUCUGCUGAAUUCCUGAGUUCUAAUGGCUCAGGCUCUAUUCCAUGGCCACUGGCAUGGUUUUCCAUGUGCUGUGCCUCACCAGCUGGGAGCUGGUGCCACAGAGGCCCCAGAUCCACAUUCCCUGUGGGAUCUGCAUUGUGCACAACUUAAUGAAACACAGAAGUGAUUUGUCCUCAGCUAACUAAAGAAAGAAGUUAGCAUGGUUCUGCUUAGAGUUGUACCUUUGCAAGCACAUUUCAUACCCACGCAGACUUUGGCUGGCAGUGUUUUUGUGCAAAAUUUAAAUAUAAAAAUUAAAUUGUCUUCAUUCCUUAACAGUUUUUAAUAUACAAAACUCAACUGUAGAGCUGUAACUCCGAAGUAGUCAUGUCUUCCUUGGGGAAAAAAACAAUCUUUUCCCAUACCCACACUGGAUUAAUCUACAAACACAUGAACACUCUCGUGGUUUAGGUUCAGAAUAGAAAAACUCCCAGCUAAGAUCCGAGGUUAUGCUUUAUUUUAUCAUUUUAGAUAGUGAAAGCAGUUGUAGCAGCAUCUUCAACAUGCACUAGUAUCUCCUGUGGUUUCCAGAGAUAGGGCUGUGGUUUUCAGCAUCACUGCAAAGAGGGUAAAACGAGGGAUCCUAAUAGUGGAAUAACUGAGAUAUUACAGAAUGUAGGCUGGCAGCAGAAGUUCCAUAUCAGAAUCUUUUUUUCCAUUACACCUCAGGGCUUUUUCCUCCACCUGGCUCUUGUAAGCAGCUGAUGUUGUCAUAUUACCUGAUACAAACUAAAACUCAGCUAUGAAAGGUAAAAAAAGUGACAUAAAAGUUUGCUACAGAGGCCCCCCUGAAAUUUGACAUUAAAGGGAAUUUGCAAGUCAAACAAUUAGGAAAAAACCACCACUACUGUGUUCUUAUCACAUAACAAGACCCAGACAACAAAGCUUUAUUUCCCUGCCCUGGCAGGAAGUUUCCUCCUUCUGAAAGAAGCUCUGACUUUUAAACAACACAAAUGCAAAUAUUCUGAAUCCCUAUGAGUUAUUCCUAAGAAUUCCCUCAUUAAACACUGAAGCUCUUCCCAAAAUGAAAUGCACUGGGAAUUCACCGAGAAAUUGAUUCUUCUGCAUUGUCAUUUCUACAUGAACCUGGAUUUCUGCUCUAUUUCAUUUUUUGUUUUGCUUAUGGUUUGGAGGGUUGGUGGUUUUUGGGGUUUUCUUUUUAAAGCUGUGUCUCUCAGUAGAGAGAGUUCUGUUUCACAACAGAAACAUGUAAGCCAGCACAGCUGAAGUUGACAAGUAGUAUUAUUUGAGAAACCUUAGGUUUCACUGGCAAUAAAAUACCACAAACAAGAGAAACCCCCUGCUCUCCCAAAGCCCUGUCCUCCAUGAGGAUUUCGGAUAUGAUGAAGGAGUAUGAUGGGGCAAGAGUUUAAAACCAACAGAGAAAUUGAUUUAAAAAGCCCACAAAAACCAGCAGAAAGGGAGCAUUCAGUGCAAACCACAAGCUGUAUGAAAGGACAAAGAAAGAAGUUCAUUGUCAAAGUCAAGAACACAGCAACAUUUAGACAGGAAUUCACCCUCUCUAUGAAGAGAUGCUUGUCCUUUAAUAGCAAACACUUGCUAAACAAGUUUCAGAAGGUAUAUAAUGAGGCCUCAGUAAUAAUUAUGUUUUAAAGUUUUAUUCAUCUACAUGACAGGUUUAACUUCAAACAAUUUUUUUGAUUGAUCUAGCUAAGCCAGUGAAACCUCCACUCUUGGGAAUUCUCCUAAAAUUGGCUUAUUUAAAAUAAAUCUAAAUUAGCACAUCCACACACACUUCCUACUACUAAAUUAAAAUUAAAAUGUCAUUAUUUUCUCACAUUAAUAAGCUCUUGUGUAAAUUUCAUGACUAAACUAGGAACAUAAAAAAAGCAUUGCUGAGACAAAAAGUUGCAAUUCUCUGACAUGAGCAGCUCAAACAGAGCCACCCACGGUGUCCAACGCUGCCAAGGCAGCUCCUCAGUGGCCCCAAAAGAGUUACUUUUUUCCUAGAUGAUAUACAAAAUCAUAAAUAUCACUUGAUACACUUGAUAAGUUUCAGAAGUGUAUUUUCAAGCUUCCCAAGAUAACACGCUGAGAUUAGUUUACUUCUCAAAAAAAUGAAAACGUCAGUUUUGCUCUGCAUCUCCUCUUGUCACACCCAACACAGGCUGGAAGUGACACAAUGAGACAGUAAAUUCACGUACUGUUUAAACACAGAGUCUCCAGACUUACACAUAUUUUACUAAAAGUAUUCUCCACCUUCUGAUUGUAAACCAGCUUGUACAAGGGAAUUCAAUCAGGUUGUGCCAGGAGAGCUUUUGGGAAAAAGUGUGGAGCCCAAAACUGCAGAUGUAGAGCCCAUAACUGGAGUUAUUCUGCAUCUCUGCAUUAAAAGUUAAAUAUUUUAAUGCUUCUCCCAAAGACAGAGACUUGCAUGACUCCAGACUUAUUAAUGCUGGGACCUGGUCCCCAACAACUUCACCGCAGAUGGCAAUAAGCUCCCAUACAAGACAGAACACAACUGAGCAGCAGCACAAAAAAUAGAACAGGACAAACAAAUUACAACAGGAGAGAACAAAUCACUCACCACACCUGUGAGUAAAAAAAAUAAAUAAAUAUCUUUCACAACCCAGACAGUAAAAAAAAAUUGGUAGCACUGUGGACAGCUCAAUGAAUACCCAAUUCAAAAGAAAAACCUCAAAGCAAGCUUUGGACUGAUUUGAUUAUGCCUGCAUCCACAGUGCUUUCCCAUCUAAAUCAAUGGUUUGAUUCCACCUUGGCUGGGUCCAGUUUUGUGAAGUCAUACAGUAAAAAAAAAAAUAAAAA